CAUAUUGGAAGGCAUGGAGAUAAGAACAGCAAUGUGCCAUUCCUUGAACUUAGCCAACCUGUUAUUUACUUUGCCAACAAACUCUAAUCAUUUACAAUUCUUUAUUCCUCCCAGGCUUGGAACAAAUGCUGUGGAUCUCCCUUCAACUGCAUUAAUAAAAGGCUUGGAACAAAUGAUGUGGAUCUCCCUUCAAAUGCAUUAAUAAAGGCACCAGAAGAUUUUUACCCCAUAGCAACUUUGCUCCAUUCAUAACAGAAGGGGAAUAUAAUCAUGAUGACAAUUUUGUUUUUGUAGAUCAGUAGAUAUUUUUAUUCUCCACCAACCCAUAACUUUGCACGAUUGAACGGAUGAAAUCCUAUAUUAUGUGCACGUAUGGCUGGUCAGAAUCGGUGGUUUUGCCAAGUGCAAGACGUCAGAUAUGAUGUGAUUAAAGAAAUAUAUGAAGAUCAUCAUUUUCCAGGACAUGUUUGAGGUAUUGGGAAAACCACACACACAUGUACACAACUUAUAUCUGCAUUGCAAAAUUGACUUUAAUAAUCUCUCGUGACUUCCUUGGAACAAACAAUCUUGAUGGGAGACAAGACACGUAAUAGG